rnacentral:rRNA from 1 species
UACGGGGGGAGCAAGCGUUGUUCGGAUUACUGGCGUAAAGGGCGCGUAGGCGGCCAGCACAAGUCAGUUGUGAAAUCUCCGAGCUUAACUCGGAAAGGUCAACUGAUACUGUGCGGCUAGAGUGCGGAAGGGGCAACUGGAAUUCUUGGUGUAGCGGUGAAAUGCGUAGAUAUCAAGAGGAACACCUGCGGCGAAGGCGG